rnacentral:lncRNA from 1 species
UUUUUUUUAUUUAUUUAUUUUUUUUUUUUGCUUUUUAGGACUGCACCUGCAAGCUCCCAAGCUACAGGUUGAAUAGGGAGCUGGAGCUGCCAGCCUAUGCCACAACCAUGGCAACACGGGAUGGAAUCCAAGUCUGAGACCUGGGCACACCACAGCUCAGGGCAACAAGCCGGAUCCUUAACCAAUGAGCGAGGCUAGGAAUGGAGCCCGCAUCCUCAUGGAUACUAGUCAGGUUUGUAAUCUGCUGAGCCACAAUGAGAACUCUGCAANAGGGCCUUUUUUUUUUUUUUUUUUUUUUUUUUUUUUUCUUUCCUGGCCACCCCAUGGAAUUCAGAGUUCCUGGACCAGGGAUCAGAUCUGAACCGCAGUUGUGACUUAUGCCACAGCAGCAACAAUGCUGGAUCCUUUAACCCACUAUGCGGGCCAGAGAUUGAACCUGAAUUCUGGCACUGCAGAGAUGCCACCAUUCCUGUUGUACCACAGUGGGAACUCUGACAUAAUAGUUUUAAUCAUCAUUAUCUUUUGUUUAAUAUUGAGAAAUUUUGCUUAAGGCUCCCACCUUAUUUUUAUAUAUUUUAUGUUCACUUUUUAAAUAGUAGAUCUCCAACUUAUUUAUCUUUCAAUCUGAAAUUUUGUGCCCUUUGAUCAGCACCUCUUCAUUCCCUCCUCUCCCAGGCCCAGAUAACCACUCUUCUACUCUCUGCUUCUGUGUGACUAUUUCGGCUUCCACAUAUAAGUGAGAUCAUUCAAUAUUUGUCUUUCUGAAUCUGGCUUAUUUCACUUAGCAUAAUGUCCUCCUCAAUUGCUUCUGAUUAUUAAGCUAUUACUUCUGAAAAUCAAAUGGUCUCUAACUCUCAUGCUUAGUCACUUAUUGUGAAGUGUUAGAUUAAGACUUAUCCACACUUAUCUUACUGUAACCUUAUUGCCAUUUAAAACUGUAGUCCAGGAGUUCCUGUCGUGGCGCAGUGGUUAACGAAUCCGACUAGGAACCAUGAGGUUGCGGGUUCGGUCCCUGCCCUUGCUCAGUGGGUUAACGAUCUGGCGUUG